CCUACGGGAGGCAGCAGUGAGGAAUAUUGGUCAAUGGACGGAAGUCUGAACCAGCCAAGUCGCGUGCAGGAUGACUGCCCUAUGAGUUGUAAACUUCUUUUGUAUAGGAGUAAAACAGAGUAUGCAUACUCUCUUGUAUGUACCAUAUGAAUAAGGAUCGGCUAACUCCGUGCCAGCAGCCGCGGUAAUACGGAGGAUCCGAGCGUUAUCCGGAUUUAUUGGGUUUAAAGGGAGCGUAGGUGGAUUGUUAAGUUAGUGGUGAAAGUUUGCGGCUUAACCGGAAAAUUGCAUCUAAGACUGGUAGUCUUGAGUACAGUAGCGGUGGGCGGAAUGCGUGGUGUAGCGGUGAAAUGCUUAGAGAUCACGCAGAACUCCGAUUGCGAAGGCAGCUCACUGGACUGCAACUGACACUGAUGCUCGAAAGUGUGGGUAUCAAACAGGAUUAGAUACCCGGGUAGUC
rnacentral:rRNA from 1 species